GCAAGUCGAACGAAACCCUUCGGGGUUUAGUGGCGGACGGGUGAGUAACGCGUGAGAAACUGCCUUCAGAUUGGGGACAACAGUUGGAAACGACUGCUAAUACCGAAUAUGCCCUAGGGUAAAAGAUUUAUUGUCUGAAGAUGUGCUCGCGUCUGAUUAGCUAGUUGGUGGGGUAAAAGCCUACCAAGACGAUGAUGCAUAGCCGACCUGAGAGGGUGAUC
rnacentral:rRNA from 1 species